UGUGGUAGCCUAAUGGUUAUGGUUGCGGACUCGCAUUUCGUCGACUCAUGGGUUCGAACCCUGAUGCCACUAAA